UUGGUCUGCGGUUGGUUGCGUUGCCGGCCUGGGGCAGCCGGAGUUCGGCUGCGAACUGACCUUCCUGCAACCCACGCUGUGACGGUUUCCCGGCUUUGCUCUCCUUGCUCAGGUCCCUGUUGUCGGGCUCCGGCCCCAGGUAAUGCUCAU
rfam:Sus scrofa isolate TJ Tabasco breed Duroc chromosome 9, whole genome shotgun sequence.